rnacentral:rRNA from 1 species
CAUGCAGUCGAACGAUGAACCACCAUUCGGUGGGGGAUUAGUGGCGAACGGGUGAGUAACACGUGGGCAAUCUGCCCUUCACUCUGGGACAAGCCCUGGAAACGGGGUCUAAUACCGGAUAACACUUCCACUCUCCUGAGUGGAGGUUAAAAGCUCCGGCGGUGAAGGAUGAGCCCGCGGCCUAUCAGCUUGUUGGUGAGGUAAUGGCUCACCAAGGCGACGACGGGUAGCCGGCCUGAGAGGGCGACCGGCCACACUGGGACUGAGACACGGCCCAGACUCCUACGGGAGGCAGCAGUGGGGAAUAUUGCACAAUGGGCGAAAGCCUGAUGCAGCGACGCCGCGUGAGGGAUGACGGCCUUCGGGUUGUAAACCUCUUUCAGCAGGGAAGAAGCGAAAGUGACGGUACCUGCAGAAGAAGCGCCGGCUAACUACGUGCCAGCAGCCGCGGUAAUACGUAGGGCGCAAGCGUUGUCCGGAAUUAUUGGGCGUAAAGAGCUCGUAGGCGGCUUGUCACGUCGAUUGUGAAAGCUCGGGGCUUAACUCCGAGUCUGCAGUCGAUACGGGCUAGCUAGAGUGUGGUAGGGGAGAUCGGAAUUCCUGGUGUAGCGGUGAAAUGCGCAGAUAUCAGGAGGAACACCGGUGGCGAAGGCGGAUCUCUGGGCCAUUACUGACGCUGAGGAGCGAAAGCGUGGGGAGCG